CUCUGAGGGACAUGACACCAAAACUAAGAGCCCAAUCAAGCAGGAGAGACCAGCCUCCCCUGUACCCAGCUGUGUGUCCAUGAGGAGUGACAAGUCUAUGGGUCUUCCUAUAUUCUUCAGAGAGGUAGACUUUUCUACUGAACAAAGAAUCUCCAACCAAAUUCGGAG